AUGGCUCAGGAUGAACGCUGGCGGCGCGCUUAACACAUGCAAGUCGAACGAAGCAACUUGUACGAUCCCUCGGGGUGACGACUUGUGACUGAGUGGCGGACGGGUGAGUAACGCGUGGGUAACCUACCUUGUACAGGGGGGAUAACAGUUGGAAACGACUGCUAAUACCGCAUAAGCGCACAGUAUCGCAUGAUACAGUGUGAAAAGUUUUUUCGGAUAAGAUGGGACCCGCGUCUGAUUAGCUAGUUGGUGAGGUAACGGCCCACCAAGGCGACGAUCAGUAGCCGACCUGAGAGGGUGACCGGCCACAUUGGGACUGAGACACGGCCCAAACUCCUACGGGAGGCAGCAGUGGGGAAUAUUGCACAAUGGGCGAAAGCCUGAUGCAGCGAACCGCCGCGUGAGCGAAGAAGUAUUUCGGUAUGUAAAGCUCUAUCAGCAGGGAAGAUAAUGACGGUACCUGACUAAGAAGCACCGGCUAAAUACGUGCCAGCAGCAGC
rnacentral:rRNA from 1 species